rnacentral:rRNA from 1 species
GCUUACCAUGCAGUCGAGCGGUAGCAGGGAGAAAGCUUGCUUUCUCCGCUGACGAGCGGCGGACGGGUGAGUAAUGUCUGGGGAUCUGCCUGAUGGAGGGGGAUAACUACUGGAAACGGUAGCUAAUACCGCAUAACGUCGCAAGACCAAAGUGGGGGACCUUCGGGCCUCGUGCCAUCAGAUGAACCCAGAUGGGAUUAGCUAGUAGGUGGGGUAAUGGCUCACCUAGGCGACGAUCCCUAGCUGGUCUGAGAGGAUGACCAGCCACACUGGAACUGAGACACGGUCCAGACUCCUACGGGAGGCAGCAGUGGGGAAUAUUGCACAAUGGGCGCAAGCCUGAUGCAGCCAUGCCGCGUGUAUGAAGAAGGCCUUCGGGUUGUAAAGUACUUUCAGUAGGGAGGAAGGUGUGAACGUUAAUAGCGUUCACAAUUGACGUUACCUACAGAAGAAGCACCGGCUAACUCCGUGCCAGCAGCCGCGGUAAUACGGAGGGUGCAAGCGUUAAUCGGAAUUACUGGGCGUAAAGCGCACGCAGGCGGUUUGUUAAGUUGGAUGUGAAAUCCCCGGGCUUAACCUGGGAACUGCAUCCAAGACUGGCAAGCUAGAGUCUCGUAGAGGGAGGUAGAAUUCCAGGUGUAGCGGUGAAAUGCGUAGAGAUCUGGAGGAAUACCGGUGGCGAAGGCGGCCUCCUGGACGAAGACUGACGCUCAGGUGCGAAAGCGUGGGGAGCAAACAGGAUUAGAUACCCUGGUAGUCCACGCUGUAAACGAUGUCGAUUUGGAGGUUGUGCCCUUGAGGCGUGGCUUCCGAAGCUAACGCGUUAAAUCGACCGCCUGGGGAGUACGGCCGCAAGGUUAAAACUCAAAUGAAUUGACGGGGGCCCGCACAAGCGGUGGAGCAUGUGGUUUAUUUCGAUGCAACGCGAAGAACCUUACCUACUCUUGACCUCCAGCGAAUCCUGUAGAGAUACGGGAGUGCCUUCGAGAACUC